rnacentral:rRNA from 1 species
GCUUGUCUCAAAGAUUAAGCCAUGCAUGUGUAAGUAUAAGUAUUGUACAGCGAAACUGCGAAUGGCUCAUUAAAACAGUUAUAGUUUAUUUGAUACUUGAAAGUUACAUGGAUAACCGUGGCAAUUCUACAGCUAAUACAUGCUUCAAAACCCGACUCUUCGGAAGGGUUGUAUUUAUUAGAUAUUAAACCAUCCCUUCGGGGCUGUGAUGAAUCAUAAUAACUGAUCGAAUCGAGGUUUACCUUGAUAAAUCAUUCAAGUUUCUGCCCUAUCAGCUUUAGAUGGUAGUGUAUUGGACUACCAUGGCUAUCACGGGUAACGGAGAAUUAGGGUUCGAUUCCGGAGAGGGAGCCUGAGAAAUGGCUACCACAUCUAAGGAAGGCAGCAGG